rnacentral:rRNA from 1 species
UGGGGAAUAUUGGACAAUGGGCGCAAGCCUGAUCCAGCCAUACCGCGUGGGUGAAGAAGGCCUUCGGGUUGUAAAGCUCUUCACCGAUGAAGAUAAUGACGGUAGUCGGAGAAGAAGCCCCGGCUAACUUCGUGCCAGCAGCCGCGGUAAUACGAAGGGGGCUAGCGUUGUUCGGAAUUACUGGGCGUAAAGCGCACGUAGGCGGAUAUUUAAGUCAGGGUGAAAUCCCAGAGCUCAACUCUGGAACUGCCUUUGAUACUGGGUAUCUUGAGUAUGGAAGAGGUAAGUGGAAUUCCGAGUGUAGAGGUGAAAUUCGUAGAUAUUCGGAGGAACACCAGUGGCGAAGGCGGCUUACUGGUCCAUUACUGACGCUGAGGUGCGAAAGCGUGGGGAGCAAACAGGAUUAGAUACC